GGUUUGGCUCAGUGGAUAGAGCGUCAGCCUGCGGACUGAAGGGUCCCAGGUUCGAUUCCUGUCAAGGGCAUGUACCUUGGUUGCAGGCUCCUCCCCAG